GAAAUUAUUGCUGGGUUGUAUGGUAAGUAUAUGUUUAGUUUUCUAAGAAGUUGCCAAACUGUCUUCCAAAUUGGCUGAACCAUUUUGUAUUCCCACCAGAAAU
rnacentral:pre_miRNA from 1 species